rnacentral:rRNA from 1 species
UGCCAGCCGCCGCGGUAAUACGGAGGGCUCAAACGUUGUUCGGAAUCACUGGGCAUAAAGCGCACGUAGGCGGCCUAUCAAGUCAGAUGUGAAAGCCCCCGGCCCAACCGGGGAACUGCAUCUGAAACUGGUAGGCUCGAGGAUGGCAGGGGUGAGUGGAACUCCAGGUGGAACGGUGAAAUGUGUAGAUAUCUGGAGGAACACCGGUGGCGAAAGCGGCUCACUGGGCCAUCACUGACGCUGAGGUGCGAAAGCUAGGGUAGCAAACGGGAUUAGAUA